UUUAUGGAGAGUUUGAUCCUGGCUCAGGAUGAACGCUGGCGGCGUGCCUAAUACAUGCAAGUCGAGCGAACUGACGAGGAGCUUGCUCCUUUGACGUUAGCGGCGGACGGGUGAGUAACACGUGGGUAACCUACCUAUAAGACUGGAAUAACUCCGGGAAACCGGGGCUAAUGCCGGAUAACAUGUUGAACCGCAUGGUUCAACAGUGAAA
rnacentral:rRNA from 1 species